rnacentral:lncRNA from 1 species
AUGCACAAUCCCCCUCAAGCUACAUUUCCUGUUGCAUCGAAGAGCCAAGCUGGGCAGCCUGAACUGACUCCCUCAAGCUGCCAAGGAAACCGAGCAAGAGGGUGGGCUGGGAGGGCCACCCUCCUCAUGCAUGCCUGCGUACAUAUCUACAUGCAUGCAUCGGUAUGUACAAGCAGCCACCAGUUUCUUCAAGAAGGGCAGAUUUCUGGGGAAAGGGCAGAAGCGGGAAGGGGAAGAAGAAACCGAAAAAGAUUCUGCUCUGUCCUCACCUUCCACCUUUUCUUUUCCCCAGAAAUUAGUGCCUACUUGAUUGUUUGCAGCUGCUUGGAACCUCAAGGUUUGUUCCCAGUAGCAAGGGAGACUCGCGCUUCCAGAACUGAAAAGCCAUUCUAGCGCCAGGACGUUCCUGCUUCGAGUUUGGGGGAAAGGUAUUUCCCUCCCUUCCAGCAGAUCGCCAGCCCUCCACCCCGGGCUCAAAGCCUUGUGAACCUCGGUGCCACACGUGUUUACACCCCGGCCCUUCGGCUCUCCGCACGGUGCCCCGUGCGGAGUGUGGCCCUGACAUCCCAAAGCCGAUCUCCCGCCUGGGAGAGACCUGAAAGGUCCCGGGGCCUCACUGGAGCUCCUCGCCUUCCCUCCUGCAGUCCCACUGGGCCUUACACUUCCUGCCACCUGCCCGCGCCACGCGCCGUCCCC